rnacentral:rRNA from 1 species
CACCGCGGUUAUACGAGAGGCCCAAAUUAAUUAACACGGCGUAAAGGGUGGUUAAAAAAAUAAUUUACUAGGGUCGAACAAGUCCCAAACUGUUAUACGUUAUGGACUAAGGAAUACCAUUAAACGAAAGUAACCCUAAAUAUUUGAACCCACGAAAGUUAGGGAA